AAAAACGUCAAUCUGCAGUCGGCAGUUUCUGCCUUCCGUCUUUAAUGAAGGAACGAUGUAAACAUCAGUAAAAUUCACACAUGGCUUCAAUAAGGAUUAUGGAUGUAGAUAUUUGUGUUUUUCUUCUUUAUUGGACUUUGCAUUCUAUUCAAGCAGAACAUUCUAAAGGUGUGUUCGAGCUCAUGCAGCGCCGCACAGACCGAUCGGCGGCUGACUUGAAGCAGUGCAUGCUGGUAAGAAAGUUUGUCCGACUUGAGACAGCGCCGACACCAUGUGACUGUGACGUAUGGCUUCAAAGUAUCACGAGAGCGAUUCGAGAUCAGCCGCCUGAGUCAGCCAGCGCAGUUUCUCAAGAGGAGCUGCACGAGCUGUGAUGACGACACAGCUGUUUAACGAUUGGCCGGAUUCACCGCAUGACAACGAUCACGUGUGUUCCUUGUUUAUUUUCACGCCUUCAGUUCCACGAAUGCUUACAAAUCUGUAUUUUUAUAACAGUUAAAGCUCUUUUCAUGAAGUCACGAUGUUAUUGUGUCAUGUUUAUCAAAAUAAAACUGAUAAGAAACGUAGACCCCA